GGCUAGUCUGUAUUGGAUGAUGGGAAUUUAAACCUCUUCCAGAGUAUCAAUUGGAGGGCAAGUCUGGUGCCAGCAGCCGCGGUAAUUCCAGCUCCAAUAGCGUAUAUUAAAAUUGUUGCAGUUAAAAAGCUCGUAGUUGAAUUUCUGCUGCAUUGCUUUUGCUCCUUUACGAGUCUUUGCAUUGUGGCUUAUUUCGGACUUUGUUUUACAAUGUCCGGAUGUUUACUUUGAGAAAAUUAGAGUGCUCAAAGCAGGCUUUCGCCUUGAAUAGUUUAGCAUGGAAUAAUAAAGUAGGACUUUGGUUCUAUUUUGUUGGUUUUAGGUACCAAAGUAAUGGUUAAUAGGAACAGUUGGGGGCAUUCGUAUUUAACUGUCAUAGGUGAAAAUUCUUAGA
rnacentral:rRNA from 1 species